GACGAACGCUGGCGGCGUGCUUAACACAUGCAAGUCGAGCGGUAAGGCCCUUUCGGGGGUACACGAGCGGUCGAACGGGUGAGUAACACGUGGGUGACCUGCCCUCAGUUCUGGGAGUAAGCCUGGGAAACCGGGUACUAAUACUGGAUAUGACCUCAUGACGCAUGUUGUGGGGCGGAAAGCCUUGUGCGACUGAGGAUGGGGCCCGCGGCCUAUCAGCUUGUUGGUGGGGUGAUGGCCUACCAAGGCGACGACGGGUAGCCGGCCUGAGAGGGCGACCGGCCACACUGGGA
rnacentral:rRNA from 1 species